CCGCAUUUCUUCAACACUCUGUAUGAUCCAUACAGAGAGGGUGCAGAUUUCGUUCGUGGAUAUCCUUUCAGUAUGCGUGAAGGGGCUGCCACAGCUGUUUCUCAUGGGCUUUGGCUCAACAUCCCUGAUUAUGAUGCACCCACACAACUUGUUAAGCCUCGUGAAAGGAACACCAGGCAAGUUCACUUUCCAUAAGACAAAAGUUGUAGAGCUUAUCUAAUUAGUCAUAGACUCAUAGUUGUAGCGUCUGGCUGCUUGCCAGAAAUAAUUAGUGCAUCCAAAUUUUAUACUUCCUCUGUUCCAAUUUAGCUGUCAUGUUUAUUUUAAUAGUUGUUCCGAAAUACUUGUCUUUUUAUUAAAUUAAGAAAGAAUUAAUAUUUUCUCCCACCUUUACCCUUACUCUAAUAAAUGUUCGAGAGAGAUUAAUGUGGUGAAAGCAACGGUAAAAAUAAAUUGAGAUCAAAGAAUAAAUAAGGGAGUUUAGUCAAAUUAUCCUUUAAAUUAAUGUUUUUUUAAGGGGCAUGCAAAAGACAAAAUGUGACAAGUCAAAGGGAAUGAAGGGAUGUAGUAUUUGUAAAGCUUAUCUGUUUGGUCAUUACUCAGAGAUUUUUAUUUUUUUAUUUUUUUCAUUUUUGAAAUUAGUAUCAAUUUCUGUACUUGUCACUAGGUAUGUAGAUGCAGUUAUGACCAUUCCCAAAGGCACUUUAUUUCCCAUGUGUGGAAUGAAUUUGGCAUUCAACCGUGAGCUGAUUGGACCUGCAAUGUACUUUGGGCUCAUGGGUGAUGGUCAGCCAAUUGGUCGUUACGACGAUAUGUGGGCUGGCUGGUGUACCAAGGUAUUGAUAGCAUAUAUCUUUCUAUCAUUAUUUAUCUUCGUAAAGUAGAGCGCUUAUUCAUCUACGGUCCCUUGGAUGUCUCAUAGAGUUGUAAUGUUUGAAGUGGAAAUUACUAAAGUGUGUCAUUUUAAUGUCUAAUGGAUGAAGGAAUCUGACAUAGAAUCAUCAAAAUUGUAGGUGAUAUGUGACCAUUUGGGCCUAGGAAUCAAGACUGGUCUUCCCUACAUUUGGCAUAGCAAAGCAAGCAACCCUUUUGUCAACCUGAAAAAGGAGUACAAAGGCAUCUAUUGGCAAGAAGAGAUCAUCCCGUUUUUCCAAGCUGUAACCCUUCCUAAAGAGUGCACAACUGUCCAGCAGUGCUACAUCGAGCUCGCGAAACAGGUCAAGGAGAAACUUUCCAACAUAGAUCCCUAUUUCACAAAGCUAGCAGAAGCCAUGGCCACUUGGAUCGAAGCCUGGGAUGAGCUCAACCCUACUGGGGAAAACUUGGCUAAGCUAUCCAUCUCGAAUGACAAGGCAAAGUAGAUUGCAUUUAGCUUUUGGUGAGUAACUUACUUAUCUAUUUUACAUGUUUAA
rnacentral:lncRNA from 1 species